rnacentral:rRNA from 1 species
GAUGAACGCUGGCGGCGUGCUUAACACAUGCAAGUCGAACGGAAAGGCCCAAGCUUGCUUGGGUACUCGAGUGGCGAACGGGUGAGUAACACGUGGGUGAUCUGCCCUGCACUUCGGGAUAAGCCUGGGAAACUGGGUCUAAUACCGGAUAGGACCACUUCUUGGAUGUUGUGGUGGAAAGUUUUUGCGGUGUGGGAUGAGCUCGCGGCCUAUCAGCUUGUUGGUGGGGUAAUGGCCUACCAAGGCGUCGACGGGUAGCCGGCCUGAGAGGGUGUCCGGCCACAUUGGGACUGAGAUACGGCCCAGACUCCUACGGGAGGCAGCAGUGGGGAAUAUUGCACAAUGGGCGCAAGCCUGAUGCAGCGACGCCGCGUGGGGGAUGACGGCCUUCGGGUUGUAAACUCCUUUCGCUAGGGACGAAGCGUUUUGUGACGGUACCUGGAGAAGAAGCACCGGCUAACUACGUG